rnacentral:sRNA from 1 species
CGCAGCCCAUGAUUGGGCGUUUCCUCCCUAGACUUGGGCCGCUCCGGCAACGGGGCGGCCUUUUUUUUGGC